GAUGAAGAACGUAGCAAAAUGCGAUAAGUAGUGUGAAUUGCAGAAUUCAGUGAAUCAUCGAAUCUUUGAACGCACAUUGCGCCCGCCAGCAUUCUGGCGGGCAUGCCUGUUCGAGCGUCAUUUCAACCCUCGACCUCCCCUUGGGGAGGUCGGCGUUGGGGACCGGCAGCACACCGCCGGCCCUGAAAUGGAGUGGCGGCCCGUCCGCGGCGACCUCUGCGCAGUAAUACAGCUCGCACCGGGACCCCGACGCGGCCACGCCGUAAAACACCCAACUUCUGAACGUUGACCUCGAAUCAGGUAGGACUACCCGCUGAACUUAAGCAUAUCAAUAAGCGGAGGA
rnacentral:misc_RNA from 1 species